AUGUUGUUUUGAGGUGAUUUGGAGCUGCUGGUGAGGUAAUUGGAAGAAGUGGACCUAAUCAAAUCAACAUACUCGACCACAAGCUCGAGUACCGUCAUCCUAGUCUUCUUGAAGUGUGCAUUUUACAUGUUUUGAGCAUCCAUUUGUCUUAGCAUCAUAUCAUCACUGUUUUAUAUCAUUUCUCAUCAUUUGUCAUCACUUUGCACGUUUAGGAUAGUUUUGCAUGCAUGUUACAUAUUUGUGUUGUUUCCAGGUGAUUUAGAGCUGUUGGGCGAGCUAAUUGGAAGAAGCGGACCUGAUCACAGCAGAACACUCGACCCAUUGGUCGAGUAGAUGGCUCCACAUCUUUAACAAACCACUCGACCCGGUCGAGUAGAAGAACUCAUCACUUCACGUCACCACUCGACCCCCUGGUCGAGUACCACCAUGAGAGUCACACGAUCACACCACUCGACCCCCUGGUCGAGUAUCAUCACCUCAAUACCUAACCAUCACUCAAUCACACCACUCGACCAAUUGGUCGAGUAACUCCAUCACGUUCACUCGAUCACUCUACCUUCAAGCCGGGUAUCACCAUCUCUAUAACUUGACUGCAUACUCGACUGCAAGCUCCAGAGUCUUCUCCAUUCCGCACUCAACCAGACACUCGAGCACAAGGAAGAAAAGAAGACUCCAGCUUAUCACUCGACCAUUCACUCAACCACCUGGGUCGAGUACCGUUCUUAAUCCGUCCCAAUACUGGGUCGUUUUGAGUAUUAGGAUUACGCAAUAUUUUGCUAUAAGUAGCAUGUAUUUUACAUUUUUGUAAAAUCUAAGUUUUAUUCCGCAGACACUGUGUUCUUGACAUUUUGUAAUCCUCAUUUCUCUUAAUCUAUUCAGUAUUCAGUAUUUGCUUUUC
rnacentral:sRNA from 1 species